rnacentral:rRNA from 2 species
CACACGACUCUCGGCAACGGAUAUCUCGGCUCUCGCAUCGAUGAAGAACGUAGCGAAAUGCGAUACCUGGUGUGAAUUGCAGAAUCCCGCGAACCAUCGAGUCUUUGAACGCAAGUUGCGCCCGAGGCCAUUCGGCCGAGGGCACGCCUGCCUGGGCGUCACA